GACGAACGCUGGCGGCGUGCUUAACACAUGCAAGUCGAACGGAGAGGCCCUGCUUUUGUGGGGUGCUCGAGUGGCGAACGGGUGAGUAACACGUGAGUAACCUGCCCUUGACUUUGGGAUAACUUCAGGAAACUGGGGCUAAUACCGGAUAGGAGCUCCUGCUGCAUGGUGGGGGUUGGAAAGUUUCGGCGGUUGGGGAUGGACUCGCGGCUUAUUAGCUUGUUGGUGGGGUAGUGGCUUACCAAGGCUUUGACGGGUAGCCGGCCUGGGAGGGUGACCGGCCACAUUGGGACUGAGAUACGGACCAGACUCCUACGGGAGGCAGCAGUGGGGAAUAUUGCACAAUGGGCGGAAGCCUGAUGCAGCAACGCCGCGUGCGGGAUGACGGCCUUCGGGUUGUAAACCGCUUUCGCCUGUGACGAAGCGUGAGUGACGGUAAUGGGUAAAGAAGCACCGGCUAACUACGUG
rnacentral:rRNA from 1 species